UGGACCUUAUUUAACAUUGUUUAAAUUUUAAAGUGUGUAUUUAAAUAGAUAUAUAACAAGUAGCCUUAUUGAAGAAACUACAGUGCCAAAGAGGAACAUUAUUGCAGUCAUUCAAAGGUUCAAUAUCCAAGUUAGCAAUUUGACUCAACACCAACAAAGAGCUAGCUUCAUAUACAUCAACAAUCACCCUAUUCUUCAGAACUACAAUGAACAG